AAUUGUCUGUUGUGUUUGUGAUUGAGUAUAUCCCCUGAGCCGAUAAAUAAACACACAAGGAAAUGCGAUAGCUUACUAUUGAGCAAGCCCGCCAUUGUAGUGGGAAGCCUGCGGUAAUCUUCAAACUUCCGCCUUGAGCCUUAUGGUUUAGGUUUUCUUCAGAGCAACACAAUGGAUCUUUC
rnacentral:other from 1 species